rnacentral:rRNA from 1 species
AGAUUGUAACGACUGGCGGCAUGCUUUACUACAUGCAAGUACGAACGGACAGCACGGGGGCGAACCCUCGGUGGCGAGUGGCGAACGGGUGGAGUAAUGCAUCGGAACAUAUCCUUGAGUGGGGGAGUAACGCAGCGAAAGUUAGUGCUAAUACCGCAUAAGCUCUGAGGAGGAAAGACGGGGGACCGGAAAGGCCUCGCGCUGAAGGAGCGGCCGAUGUCCGAUUAGCUAGUUGGUGAGGUAAAGGCUUACCAAGGCGACGAUCGGUAGCUGGUCUGAGAGGAUGAUCAGCCACACUGGGACUGAGACACGGCCCAGACUCCUACGGGAGGCAGC